UCGGUCCCGGUUCACCCCCGAGCUCCGGCGUGGGCACCUGCCCCGGGGGACCCGGCAUC
rnacentral:ncRNA from 1 species